AGUGAACGCUGGCGGCGUGCUUAACACAUGCAAGUCGAACGAGAACGGAAUAUAGCUUGCUAUAUUUGUCAGCUAAGCGGCGCACGGGUGAGUAAUGUAUAGAUAACCUGCCCUUAAGAAAGGAAUAACAGUUGGAAACGACCGCUAAUGCCCUAUAUGCCUUUAAUACAUAAGUAUGCAAGGGAAACGCUUUAGUGCUUAAGGAUGGGUCUGUAUGGUAUCAGCUUGUUGGUGAGGUAAUGGCUCACCAAGGCUAUGACGCCUAACUGGUUUGAGAGGAUGAUCAGUCACACUGGAACUGAGACACGGUCCAGACUCCUACGGGAGGCAGCAGUGGGGAAUAUUGCACAAUGGACGAAAGUCUGAUGCAGCAACGCCGCGUGGAGGAUGACACAUUUCGGUGCGUAAACUCCUUUUAUAUAGGAAGAUAAUGACGGUACUAUAUGAAUAAGCACCGGCUAACUCCGUGCCAGCCGCCGCCGUAAAAC
rnacentral:rRNA from 1 species